rnacentral:rRNA from 1 species
UACGAAGGGGGCUAGCGUUGCUCGGAAUCACUGGGCGUAAAGGGUGCGUAGGCGGGUCUUUAAGUCAGGGGUGAAAUCCUGGAGCUCAACUCCAGAACUGCCUUUGAUACUGAGGAUCUUGAGUUCGGGAGAGGUGAGUGGAACUGCGAGUGUAGAGGUGAAAUUCGUAGAUAUUCGCAAGAACACCAGUGGCGAAGGCGGCCCGCUGGGCAGUGGCUGACGCUGAGGCGCGACAGCGUGGGGAGCAAACAGG